GCAUUAGAACAGGAGUUAUAAAUUCAAGCAAAUCUGCUAACUCUUUUCCUCCUUGCACCAACGGAGACAUCUUAACUACAAUAAUUUUGGAAGCCCCCUAAGCUACAGAGACACAUGAAGUGAAACUGGCAGGAGCUCUCAACACAGCCUUGCAUUCUACAAUGAUUCUAGCAAUGGAUAAUAGUGAUGAUGAAGAAGCAUCUAUCCUGGAGUUACUUUGUACAGAGAAGGAAGUUGAAGAACUGUCAGGGAAAUCAAAACAAAGACCUGAUUGAAAAAAUAUGAGAAACUAAGUGGCC
rnacentral:lncRNA from 1 species